UACGUAGGGUGCGAGCGUUGUCCGGAAUUACUGGGCGUAAAGAGCUCGUAGGCGGUUUGUCGCGUCUGCCGUGAAAGUCCGGGGCUCAACUCCGGAUCUGCGGUGGGUACGGGCAGACUAGAGUGAUGUAGGGGAGACUGGAAUUCCUGGUGUAGCGGUGAAAUGCGCAGAUAUCAGGAGGAACACCGAUGGCGAAGGCAGGUCUCUGGGCAUUAACUGACGCUGAGGAGCGAAAAGCAUGGGGAGCGAACAGG
rnacentral:rRNA from 1 species